GAAUAGGAUUAGAUUCACAUUGGCGUAUUCUUCUCGACUUCUCGUCCCUUCACCUUCGGUGGCGGCGGCGGCGACGAACUGCUGUACCAGCACCGCAGCACGGGCGCACGGCAGUCCAGCUCCGGCGAGCGGCGGCACCAUCUCCACUUCUCCUGUUCUGCAGUCUCCAAUCUCCAUCGAGUAGCGCUCAGCUCUUCCAAGCUCCAAAUCCAGUCUCCAACUCUCCAUCGACGCAAGCUUCAUCCAUGGCAGAUGCAAUGGAUUCUUCAGAUACUCCAACUCCUGUUGAUGGGAGUACACCUACAUCUACUGCUCAAGAAUCAGCAUCAGAACCAAAGACAAGAAGAAAGACUGACAUUGCUUGGGCCUAUUGCACGCAUAUUACUCAGGGAGGGGAAAAAAGAUCAAAUGCAUGUACUGUGACAUGGUUUGUGGCCGGUUCAAUUUGACCGGUUCAAAACAAUCGAACCGGUUUUUGGCGGUUGAACCAAUGAACCAGUGAACCGACGUCCUCGCUGGUUCAAUUACCGGUCCGGUCUUAAUAACUAUGGUGCUAGUUCAAGUCCCA